rnacentral:tmRNA from 1 species
GGGGAUGUAUUUUGGCUUUGACAGUAUUUUUGAAAUAUGAACUGCGAGUAGUGGAUGGUUGCUUUGGCCACUAUAAAAAAGCAAAUUAAAAUUAAACGCUGAUAAUGAAUUAGCAUACGCUGCCUAGGUGCAACGUCGUCUUACUAUAAGGCCUACUGGUAUAGAUAAGGCGUCGACUAAAGUAGGAAACAAAGUUAUUCCUCGCCUUGGGAAUAAUGGGUAAUUUAAGGCUACUUUAAAUUCAAGUGUGUUUAUUUGCUAGAAUUUAGAGGAUAUUCCAAUAAUAAACUACACUCGUAGAGGUUUAUAUGGAUAGGAUAUUGGACGAGGGUUCGACUCCCUCCAUCUCCACCA